GGGUUGUGAGGUUAAGCGACUAAGCGUACACGGUGGAUGCCCUGGCAGUCAGAGGCGAUGAAGGACGUGCUAAUCUGCGAUAAGCGUCGGUAAGGUGAUAUGAACCGUUAUAACCGGCGAUUUCCGAAUGGGGAAACCCAGUGUGUUUCGACACACUAUCAUUAACUGAAUCCAUAGGUUAAUGAGGCGAACCGGGGGAACUGAAACAUCUAAGUACCCC
rnacentral:rRNA from 1 species